rnacentral:rRNA from 1 species
UACAGAGGGGGCAAGCGUUAUUCGGAAUUAUUGGGCGUAAAGGGCGCGUAGGCGGGUUUCCAAGUCGGGGGGUGAAAUUCCAGGGCUCAACCCUGGGACGGCCUUCGAUACUGGGAGCCUGGAGAUCGGGAGAGGUGAGUGGAAUUCCGAGUGUAGAGGUGAAAUUCGUAGAUAUUCGGAGGAACACCAGAAGCGAAGGCGGCUCACUGGCCCGAGACUGACGCUGAGGCGCGAAAGCGUGGGGAGCAAACAGG